GAUGAAGAACGCAGCGAAACGCGAUAUGUAAUGUGAAUUGCAGAAUUCAGUGAAUCAUCGAAUCUUUGAACGCACAUUGCGCCCCCUGGUAUUCCGGGGGGCAUGCCUGUUCGAGCGUCAUUUCACCACUCAAGCCUCGCUUGGUAUUGGGCAACGCGGUCCGCCGCGUGCCUCAAAUCGACCGGCUGGGUCUUCUGUCCCCUAAGCGUUGUGGAAACUAUUCGCUAAAGGGUGUUCGGGAGGCUACGCCGUAAAACAACCCCAUUUCUAAGGUUGACCUCGGAUCAGGUAGGGAUACCCGCUGAACUUAAGCAUAUCAAUAAGCGGAGGA
rnacentral:misc_RNA from 1 species